GUGUGUUCAUACUUACUUAAACACUUAAUGUUCCCACUCCACUGGCCUUGCUGACAGGUCAAGUAUUUGGAGAAAGGUGGACGUUCAUCCAGUGUGUAUUUAUUAAAACAGAUGUAUUCAACUCUCUCCCCUGUACUGUAUUCAUUUUUUUGUCAUAUCUUUUGUAUCUGCAUUAUCCACUUUUGGUGGUGGCCCACAUUUCACUGUCUCUGUAAU